rnacentral:rRNA from 1 species
UACGUAGGGGGCAAGCGUUGUCCGGAUUUAUUGGGCGUAAAGAGCGUGUAGGCGGCCAUGCAGGUCCGUUGUGAAAACUCGAGGCUCAACCUCGAGACGCCGAUGGAAACCGCAUGGCUAGAGUCCGGAAGAGGAGAGUGGAAUUCCCGGUGUAGCGGUGAAAUGCGCAGAUGUCGGGAAGAACACCCGUGGCUAAGGCGGCUCUCUAGUACGGUACUGACGCUGAGACGCGAAAGCGUGGGGAGCGAACAGG